rnacentral:rRNA from 1 species
UACGGGGGGGGCAAGUCGUUGUUCGGAAUUACUGGGCGUAAAGGGCGCGUAGGCGGCUCUGAUCGUCGGAUGUGAAAGGCCUGGGCUCAACCUGGGAAUGGCAUCCGAUACGGCGGGGCUGGAGUGUGGGAGAGGUGAGUGGAAUUCCGAGUGUAGAGGUGAAAUUCGUAGAUAUUCGGAAGAACACCAGUGGCGAAGGCGGCCAUCUGGACCGCAACUGACGCUGAGGCGCGAAAGCGUGGGGAGCAAACAGG